rnacentral:rRNA from 1 species
GACGAACGCUGGCGGCGUGCUUAACACAUGCAAGUCGAACGGGAGGAAAAGAGAAGCUUGCUUUUUUUUGAAUCUAGUGGCAAACGGGUGAGUAACACGUAAACAACCUGCCUUCAGGAUGGGGACAACAGACGGAAACGACUGCUAAUACCGAAUGUGUUCCGGAGACCGCAUGAUUUCCGGAAGAAAGGAUGGCCUCUAUUUAUAAGCUAUCGCCUGAAGAGGGGUUUGCGUCUGAUUAGGCAGUUGGUGAGGUAACGGCCCACCAAACCUACGAUCAGUAGCCGGUCUGAGAGGAUGAACGGCCCCACUGGAACUGAGACACGGUCCAGACUCCUACGGGAGGCAGCAGUGGGGAAUCUUCCGCAAUGGACGAAAGUCUGACGGAGCAACGCCGCGUGAGUGAUGACGGCCUUCGGGUUGUAAAGCUCUGUGAUCGGG